AUGGCGGUGCCCAACCCAGACCCAAACCGCCGCGAGAAGUGGUUUGAUUUCAACAGGGGAUCAAUGCUCGUGCUGUACAGGAGCAGCGGUGUCUUCAUCCUCGAUCUCGACAAGAAGGUGAUGGAAAAGAUCAUGGACGAUUGCUUGCUGCCCCAAUUCAAUCAUGUACAGAAUAAGACGACGUCAGUGGCGUACGAGAUGGACUUGGUGGAGUUCUUUCUGCUCCACCUUGGUGGUCUAUGUAGAGGUCGUCUUAGAGAAUAG
rnacentral:rRNA from 1 species